GACGGAGGAUGCAAGCGUUAUCCGGAAUGAUUGGGCGUAAAGCGUCCGCAGGUGGCAGUUCAAGUCUGCUGUCAAAGACCGGGGCUUAACUUCGGAAAGGCAGUGGAAACUGAACAGCUAGAGUAUGGUAGGGGCAGAGGGAAUUCCUGGUGUAGCGGUGAAAUGCGUAGAGAUCAGGAAGAACAUCGGUGGCGAAGGCAGCCCCCUGGGAUAAGACUGACGCUCAUGUACGAAAGCGUGGGGAGCAAACAGG
rnacentral:rRNA from 1 species